AUUGAACGCUGGCGGCAGGCCUAACACAUGCAAGUCGAACGAGUGGCGGACGGGUGAGUAAUGUCUGGGAAACUGCCUGAUGGGGGGGGAUAACUACGGGAAACGGUGGCUAAUACCGCAUACCAUCAGAUGUGCCCAGAGGGGAUUCGCUAGUAGGUGGGGUAAUGGCUCACCUGGGCGACGAUCCCUAGCUGGUCUGAGAGGAUGACCAGCCACACUGGAACUGAGAAACGGUACAGACUCCUACGGGAGGCAGCAGUGGGGAAGAUUGCACAAUGGGCGCAAGCCUGAUGCAGCCAUGCCGCGUGUGUGAAGAAGGCCUUAGGGUUGUAAAGCACUUUCAGCGAGGAGGCGUUACUCGCAGAAGAAGCACCGGCGAACUCCGUGCCAGCAGCCGCGGUAAUUC
rnacentral:rRNA from 1 species